UAAUUAAGCGGAGGAAAAGAAACUAACCAGGAUUCCCCCAGUAAGGGCGACUGAAGCGGGAAGAGCUCAGGAUGUGAAUCAGUGCAUUGCAUUACGUUACGAUACGUUACGUUACGUUGCUUGGCACUGAAUUGUGGUCUGUAGACGGUGACACUAUCAGCCGGGCCAAGUCCCUUGGAACAGGGCAGCUGAGAGGGUGAGACUCCCGUUCGCCCGGCAGAGUGAGUCGCCUGUCAACGAGUCGAGUUGUUUGGGAUUGCAGCUCAAAGUGGGUGGUAAAUUCCAUCUAAAGCUAAAUAUUGGUGGGAGACCGAUAGCGUACAAGUACCGUGAGGGAAAGAUGCAAAGAACUUUGAAAAGAGAGUUAAAGAGUACCUGAAAUUGCUGAAAGGGAAGCGAAGGAAACCAGUGUUGGGCUGGUCAUAUUUCCCAGUCUGCUUGCAGUCUGGGCGCUGUGGCCAUCCAGAGUUGUUCUUGGUUGGCGCUGGUGGAAGGGCGCGGACAGAGUUGAUGUUCGUUGCCAGCACCGGCGGUGACUGAGGAGGACGAAAUGGUUUUCUUUACCCCG
rnacentral:rRNA from 1 species